UUCCCCUGUCUGGCUUGGCCCCUCUACUCCCAGGGGACACUUCCUUACUCCAGAGAGCCACAGGGAGAGCAGAACUCUGGUUCCCAUAGCAACAUGGCCAGGUUCACAAGGCAACAAGGUCUUGCCUUUGCAGUCAGCUCCAUUAUAACUGUCAGUGGCCAAGGCAAUUUUAGGUCAGCCUACGAGAUUAAUUUGCAGCUUUCUCAACACAGAAGCCCCCAGCAUGGAAGAAAAGGCAACAGGAAAAAGCCCACCCAUCCUGCCAUGUGGGGCUGUGGGGCUCAACCUUGAUGAGGAAUGAAUCGACAAAGAAGUAUCAUGAGAAAAGGCCAGAAGGGUUUUCAGCACAGAGCUUCAAAAACCCUGGGAAUGUCCUGAGUAAUAGAGAUCAUCUCUUUUAUGCAAAUGAGAUGCUCUAGACCCAAUAAAAACCCUGGACGGAAAGCUCAGAGGAACUUCCAGACUGGUGUACACACUGAUGUGCAGAGUGGGGGGUACACUCCAACUCCACAGGCAAAGGGCCUGGAAGUUCUGCAUUCAGGAUCCUCCCACUCUCUCCUGUGUUUAUGCUUUAGGAUAAAACUGUAAUGGGUGGAAGAAAAAGAAAAUCCUUUCUUAGCCCCUUCCUCCUUCCUGCUGGCUGGAGACAGGCAUAGAGAUGAAUUCUCUUGCAUCAGAUGGACACGAGCAAUGGCCUACAAACAAGACAGAAUGCUCCUGAGUCCCUAAGGCUUCUGCAAAGCAGUUACCAUGCAAGCCCUGAAUUCCCUACCUUCUAAAUUUUCAUGUGUGAGAAAAAUAAACUAUCAUCUUAUUUAAGCUACUGUUA